UACGAAGGGGGCGAGCGUUGUUCGGAAUUAUUGGGCGUAAAGCGCGCGCAGGCGGAUCGGCAAGUUGGGCGUGAAAUCUCCCGGCCUAACUGGGAGGGGUCGCCCAAGACUGUCGGUCUUGAGGACAGCAGAGGUAGGUGGAAUUCCUGGUGUAGUGGUGAAAUGCGUAGAGAUCAGGAGGAACACCGGUGGCGAAGGCGGCCUACUGGGCUGUCACUGACGCUGAGGCGCGAAAGCUCGGGGAGCGAACGGG
rnacentral:rRNA from 1 species